rnacentral:lncRNA from 1 species
AACUUUUACCCCAGGGUAUGCCAGAUUAGCCACAAAUACAGAGAGUCCAUUGUUCACACGGACAGAGUCUCCUCUGUAUUUGCAUGGCGUCGCACAAGUACAAUAUACAACCACAACCGUAUGAGCAUACACAUACAUUAACCAUUCACAUUUACAUUCAUUUCAUUACAAAUAUCCAUAAAUCCACAUCUAUCAGUUUAAAAUGUUUUUCACUCGAAAACUCAUUUUGAAGCACUAAGAGUCAUGAAAACCAAUAAAACCUUUUCAAAACCGUUUCCCACACGGAAAUCCUUUUUUUUUAAAACACGCUACCACGAGGGGUAGAAAAUCGUUUUCAUCUCAAAGAAAAUCAUAAGUUCUUUAAUUCAUUCACCAAAAUCACAUUUAUCCAAGUAAACAAAAACCAACUGAACCAAUAUGUCUA